UUAAGUUUGAUCCUGGCUCAGGAUGAACGCUAGCUACAGGCUUAACACAUGCAAGUCGAGGGGCAGCAUGGUCUUAGCUUGCUAAGGCCGAUGGCGACCGGCGCACGGGUGAGUAACACGUAUCCAACCUGCCGUCUACUCUUGGACAGCCUUCUGAAAGGAAGAUUAAUACAAGAUGGCAUCAUGAGCCCGCAUGUUCACAUGAUUAAAGGUAUUCCGGUAGACGAUGGGGAUGCGUUCCAUUAGAUAGUAGGCGGGGUAACGGCCCACCUAGUCUUCGAUGGAUAGGGGUUCUGAGAGGAAGGUCCCCCACAUUGGAACUGAGACACGGUCCAAACUCCUACGGGAGGCAGCAGUGAGGAAUAUUGGUCAAUGGGCGAGAGCCUGAACCAGCCAAGUAGCGUGAAGGAUGACUGCCCUAUGGGUUGUAAACUUCUUUUAUAAAGGAAUAAAGUCGGGUAUGGAUACCCGUUUGCAUGUACUUUAUGAAUAAGGAUCGGCUAACUCCGUGCCAGCAGCCGCGGUAAUACGGAGGAUCCGAGCGUUAUCCGGAUUUAUUGGGUUUAAAGGGAGCGUAGAUGGAUGUUUAAGUCAGUUGUGAAAGUUUGCGGCUCAACCGUAAAAUUGCAGUUGAUACUGGAUAUCUUGAGUGCAGUUGAGGCAGGCGGAAUUCGUGGUGUAGCGGUGAAAUGCUUAGAUAUCACGAAGAACUCCGAUUGCGAAGGCAGCCUGCUAAGCUGCAACUGACAUUGAGGCUCGAAAGUGUGGGUAUCAAACAGGAUUAGAUACCCUGGUAGUCCACACGGUAAACGAUGAAUACUCGCUGUUUGCGAUAUACUGCAAGCGGCCAAGCGAAAGCGUUAAGUAUUCCACCUGGGGAGUACGCCGGCAACGGUGAAACUCAAAGGAAUUGACGGGGGCCCGCACAAGCGGAGGAACAUGUGGUUUAAUUCGAUGAUACGCGAGGAACCUUACCCGGGCUUAAAUUGCAGAUGAAUUACGGUGAAAGCCGUAAGCCGCAAGGCAUCUGUGAAGGUGCUGCAUGGUUGUCGUCAGCUCGUGCCGUGAGGUGUCGGCUUAAGUGCCAUAACGAGCGCAACCCUUGUUGUCAGUUACUAACAGGUUCUGCUGAGGACUCUGACAAGACUGCCAUCGUAAGAUGUGAGGAAGGUGGGGAUGACGUCAAAUCAGCACGGCCCUUACGUCCGGGGCUACACACGUGUUACAAUGGGGGGUACAGAGGGCCGCUACCACGCGAGUGGAUGCCAAUCCCAAAAACCUCUCUCAGUUCGGACUGGAGUCUGCAACCCGACUCCACGAAGCUGGAUUCGCUAGUAAUCGCGCAUCAGCCACGGCGCGGUGAAUACGUUCCCGGGCCUUGUACACACCGCCCGUCAAGCCAUGGGAGCCGGGGGUACCUGAAGUGCGUAACCGCGAGGAGCGCCCUAGGGUAAAACUGGUGACUGGGGCUAAGUCGUAACAAGGUAGCCG
rnacentral:rRNA from 1 species